rnacentral:rRNA from 1 species
UACGUAGGUGGCAAGCGUUGUCCGGAAUUAUUGGGCGUAAAGCGCGCGCAGGCGGUCCUUUAAGUCUGAUGUGAAAGCCCACGGCUCAACCGUGGAGGGUCAUUGGAAACUGGGGGACUUGAGUGCAGGAGAGAAGAGUGGAAUUCCACGUGUAGCGGUGAAAUGCGUAGAGAUGUGGAGGAACACCCGUGGCGAAGGCGGUUCUCUGGGACGGUACUGACGCUGAGACGCGAAAGCGUGGGGAGCGAACAGG